rnacentral:rRNA from 1 species
GACGAACGCUGGCGGCGUGCUUAACACAUGCAAGUCGAGCGGGGAUAAACCCUUCGGGGUUUAGUUCUAGCGGCGGACGGGUGAGUAACGCGUGAACAAUCUGUCCUACACAGGGGGAGUAACAGAUGGAAACAUCUGCUAAUACCGCAUAAGACCACGGGAUCGCAUGUUCCUGAGGUAAAAAGAAUUUAUCGGUGUAGGGUGAGUUCGCGUCCGAUUAGCUAGUUGGUGAGGUAACGGCCCACCAAGGCGACGAUCGGUAGCCGACCUGAGAGGGUGAUCGGCCACAUUGGAACUGAGACACGGUCCAAACUCCUA